AUUGACUGUGAUGAGCCCAAUACAGACCUGUAAUGAUUUGCGAAAAUGAUCGCAUAUUAUGAACAUCUAAGGGACUGAGUUAAUUUAUGUUUUAAUAUUUUUUUAACGUUUUUCGUGGCUUCUUUAAAUUUGAAUGUCGAUUUGGUAAAAUUGUUCCAAGUUUGUAUGAAUUGAAGCCUAGAAAAAAUGUUCCCCUCGCUAUCCGGUGCAACGUUUGAUGUUGUAUUUGGACGUUGGGAAACUACACCU
rnacentral:lncRNA from 1 species